rnacentral:rRNA from 1 species
GUGUCAGCCGCCGCGGUAAUACGUAGGGGGCAAGCGUUGUCCGGAUUUAUUGGGCGUAAAGAGCGUGUAGGCGGCUGGGUAGGUCCGUUGUGAAAACUCGAGGCUCAACCUCGAGACGCCGAUGGAAACCCUCCAGCUAGAGUCCGGAAGAGGAGAGUGGAAUUCCUGGUGUAGCGGUGAAAUGCGCAGAUAUCAGGAAGAACACCCGUGGCUAAGGCGGCUCUCUAGUACGGUACUGACGCUGAGACGCGAAAGCGUGGGGAGCGAACAGGAUUAGAUACCCCAGUAGUCC